rnacentral:RNase_P_RNA from 1 species
GAAGUCGGCCAGGCAGCCGCUGGGCAAGAAGGGGAAGACCCUUGGCGCCGAGAGGAAAGUCCGGGCUCCACAGAGCGGGAUGCCGGCUAACGGCCGGGCACCGUGAGGUGACGGAAAGUGCAACAGAAAGCAAACCGCCGAUGUCCUCGCCAAGGCGCAGGGCAGGCAAGGGUGAAACGGCGAGGUAAGAGCUCACCGCGGACGUGGUAACACGGCCGGCACGGCAAACCCCAUCCGGAGCAAGGCCAAAUAGGGAAGCACGGGCGUGGCUCGCGCUGCUUCCGGGUAGGCCGCUCGAGCGUGCUGGUAACAGCACGCCUAGAGGAAUGGCUGUCCACGACAGAACCCGGCUUAUCGGCCGGCUUCCCAU